rnacentral:rRNA from 1 species
GGAAUCUUGCGCAAUGGGCGAAAGCCUGACGCAGCAACGCCGCGUGCGGGAAGAAGGCUUUCGGGCUGUAAACCGCUUUCAGUAGGAACGAAACUGGCGGUACCUACAGAAGAAGGAGCGGCCAACUAUGUGCCAGCAGCCGCGGUGACACAUAGGCUCCAAGCGUUGUCCGGAUUUAUUGGGCGUAAAGAGCUCGUAGGCGGUUGAGUAAGUCGGGUGUGAAAACUUUGGGCUUAACCCAAAGAUGCCACUCGAUACUGCUUUGACUUGAGUUCGGUAGGGGAGUGGGGAAUUCCUUGUGUAGCGGUGAAAUGCGCAGAUAUAAGGAGGAACACCGGUGGCGAAGGCGCCACUCUGGGCCGAUACUGACGCUGAGGAGCGAAAGCGUGGGGAGCAAACAGGAUUAGAUACCCUGGUAGUCCACGCGGUAAACGGUGGUCACUAGGUGUGGGUCUCUUCAAACGAGAUCUGCGCCGUCGCUAACGCAUUAAGUGACCCGCCUGGGGAGUACGGUCGCAAGACUAAAACUCAAAUGAAUUGACGG